GAGAGACCUCAUCACCCACAUUUGCCACAACAACCUCUACGUCUUUCAAACUUUGGCCUAAAAUUUAAAGGAUUAGUAAAAUUCAAAAUUAUUUAUGCAAAAAGUACCAGUCUUUUUAGAAACUUCAGCCAGAAGUUCCUUCAGCUUGUUUUCAUUCCGACCAGCAACGCCCCAUGAAAGGUUCUCAACCUUGUUGGACAAGGUCAAAAUCUUUUCAACCACCACCUUACCGGUGUAGCCAGUAGCACCAAAAAUUAAUAUGCCCAAUCUCCUUGCCAUGGUUUUUCUAAAUAAUUCAAACUAAAUUUGCUACCAAAAACCUGAUAACAAAAAUGGAGAUAAUAUCCCAAUUUAAUUAACUGAUAUGAAUUGAAACCUUGACCUGCACAUAGGGAAAUUUUACUUUGGACUUUGAACAAUCAAGAGAUAUAAACUGAUUGGGAACAUAAAAGAUCUCAAUAAUUAUGAAUCUUAAUUUAUUGUUUGGGUUGUGCUGGGUUGUGCCAUUUAAUUCUCUACCUGCCAUCUGACGUUUAAUUUUAUAACUCAUCUUAUCUGAUUUCAAAUUUCUAAUUUUAAAUGUGAAACUAAAGAGGGGAUGAGAAAAUAUGUAAAAAUCAUAGAAUGGCAGACAGGAAAUUUAGUAAAUUUUAAAUAUCAAUGCAUGAUUGUAUUGCGGAAAAAUGCAUUUAUGUUAUUCUUUGGAUUUCACUGACAGCUUUAUUAUAGCGCUGGAAAAUAUCUUAGUCUGAUACCUCUUUACGGACUUUUUAACAAUUAAGAUAAUAACUGAUAAGAGUUCAUUGCACCAAAAAAUCACUGCUGCACAGGUAUUUCAAACACCCGCGCUGUGUGAUCAUCCGAAGCAGUCAGCAGCAACUUUCCGUCUCUAAAAUAUCAUUUCAAUUUUCAGUCCAGAUUAACAACAACAAAACUUAAUCUAAGUAAAAAAUCUCACCUGGACUGACACAAGUCGAGAAUGGUGGACUUGUGUCCCAGGAGCAUGGUGGCUUUGUUCGAGAGGUUCAACCCAUCGAAGAUCUGAACGUCACCCUUGACAGUGCCCACAAUGAGAGACCUGUCCGCCCUAGACCAGGCGAGUUUGGUGACGUCCUCGAACAAACUGGCGCCGUCUCUCACUUCCUGGUGGGAAAUCUCCCAAACGGAGAGGUCUCCGUUCAGAGUGACACAGGCGGCCAGGUCGGACUGGUUUUCCAGAGGGCAAAACUCAACCGACUCGACGCAGACUGGCUCGGGAUCGGUGCAAAGCAAGCUGCCAAGAAGCUGAAAUUUUGGCGUCGCCGUUGUUCGCACCUGCUAAUACUAGGGUGUUGUCUCUGUGGCAACUCAAACUUUUGAUCGGCACUCCGUCCGCAGGGAUGACGAAGGUGGUCUUGCAGGAGCGCAAAUCAAAAAUGCGCACACUUCCGUCCUCGUAACCAACCACAGCUCUAGUGCCUUUGAUUAGAUUUUUAAUAAUGAUUUUCAAUUAAGAAUUACUAAUUAAUUACCAUCAGGCAUGAUCUUUCCAAUUUCAGAGGAAACACCACUGCUGGGAAGGACUUUGCACUCGCCCGAGUUUACCCUCCAGAAAGUGACGUUGCCGUCGCCACCACCGGCGAAGAGCACAUUGAUAGCUGGAUGCCAAUCCAUCCACUGCAAAAACAUUCCAAAAGUAAUCAUGGAUAAAAUAAAAAUUAUAUUUAAAAUUACGUUAAGUUCGUUGAUUGUGUCCUGAAGAAUUCUUUCUUUAGAGGCAACUUUCCAGACUUGGACGUUGCCCUCCAUGUCUCCAGUGGCCACCAAAGUUCCAUCGUGGUUGAAUUUAGCACUGACAACCGAAUCCUGAGAAUUCCAAAAUUUAAAAUGAAAUGAUUUAAUAUUAGAAAAAUUAAGACAUACAGUGUGUUCAUUGCAGGUGAUUUUCACUUCCCCUGUGCUCAGGUCCCAAACGUAAGCAAUUUCAUCCUCACCCCCUGUCACAGCCAGUUGUCCUGAUUUGUCGAUGUCACAGCAGAAAAUCGAGCCUUGAGAACAAAAAAUUUUAAUUAUUCUUUGCAGUACAUAAAUCAAUAAAUUAUAAUUCAUAACAUAAAAAUCACAUUAUUUUAUCUGGGUAUGGAUUUUUCAGUUUUUGAAUCUCACUUUUGUGUUCUUUGAACACGAGUUUGGCGUCAUCCCUCUCCGGGACGUAUUCCUCGACCACUUCCCCGCCGUCGACGACCACCUCCUCGCCGUUCAUCUCGAAUUCGUCGUCAUCGGACGCCCCUUCGUUCGAACUGUCAUCGUCCAGCAGCAGGCCUUCGGGGUCGUACACCUCGACCUCCUCAAAGACGUCGUCGGCUUCCAGUGGCACGUCUUCGUCCGACAUUUCUUCAACUUCUUUGCCGUCAACCUUCAGGUCUGCACGUGCGUUUGUAUCCCGCAUGUGUCCCACAGACGAGCGUGAUGGAGAGCGAGAUCAGCACGAGAUGAUGAGCAACAAUAACAAAUGAGUUCCAGAUAGGAAAACCAUCCCAAUUUGAAGAAAAUGCAACCUGCUUGACGGCCAUGUCUGCCAGGUUGCCUAACGAAAGGCGAAGCCUGACGAAAUUGCACGACCAUAGAAUGAUAUCAAGUCAGGAGAGAUCAAGAUUAUAAUACACAAAAAGGAACGAGCAGUUUUCAGAAAACGGUCUCGGUGAUCAGCUCAUUGUUUCCGUCGACCUUGCUAGCUAGUUGGUCGAGCGCGUUGGCGGUCAUCUUAUUACUACAUGAGCUCAAUUCUUGGCCGUUUUGCGGCGGCGAAAGGACGACGACGACGUUUGGACCCUGUUUGCUGCUCGACGGCGGCGACGGCGUCCGCUGGGAAUGCGAACUGGAACUGUUGUCGGGCACAACACUCACGUCCUGGUCGCGACUCGCGGUGCCGCCGGUGGCGCCGCUCGUCGACGAGCACUCGGAGCACCCGUCCGAGGAGCACGAGCUGUCAUCGCACAGGGUGGCGUCGUCGGCGUCGCUGCCCAGCCAGUACUCGUCGUUGUAGAACACCGAGUCGGAGCCGAUGGAACGAGCGUCCGCCUGCUCGUCGAACGUGCCCAGGGUGGCGCUGCCGCACGACGCCAGCGGCGCCGCCAACAUCAUGGCCCGCCGCUGACGGUAGUUCAGCUGCUUCUCGCUGUUGCACGGCGAAAUGUCCGGCGUCGGCUGAAUCACGUUGAUGUUGAUGGCGCAGUUUCGCGCCGACUGGUCAGCAGCACGACCCGACUCAACCCCAACGCCAUCCACGCGACCCUUGACCCUGACGUUUGGUGCAAAAACCUGAAGAUGAGAAUAUUUUUAAUGAUUAAAUUAUUGUCAGAAAAGUUGAAUUCUAUAAUUAUUAAAAUGAGUUAUUAAAUAAAAU